rnacentral:rRNA from 1 species
GGGCGUAAAGCGCACGCAGGCGGUCUGUCAAGUCGGAUGUGAAAUCCCCGGGCUCAACCUGGGAACUGCAUUCGAAACUGGCAGGCUGGAGUCUUGUAGAGGGGGGUAGAAUUCCAGGUGUAGCGGUGAAAUGCGUAGAGAUCUGGAGGAAUACCGGUGGCGAAGGCGGCCCCCUGGACAAAGACUGACGCUCAGGUGCAAAGCGUGG